GCUGCCUGGCUAAGCCCCCGCCGCCGUCGGGAAGCGGGAAAGGGGAGCCAAAGGCUCCAGCAUGUGCCAGGAGGCGGGAAACUUUCCCCUCGUCCUCAUUAAGCAAAGGGAGGGAUGGGGGGAGAGGAUUAGGGAGCCCAGAAGGGACUUUCUUUUCUUCUCGGAGUGAGACAGGAACGCGACUUCGCCCGACCUCUUGACUCCCCCCUCGGAGGGGAAGAGUUGGAAGCACGAGGCCCUUGGCACGAGAUGGCGUCUCUGGUCUAGCCUCGCUGGAGGCUUUUCGUCCUCCUUUUCUGCUUUCCGCUCGACUCGGACCGGACCGGGGAAAAAAAUCGUGAUGUUUAGCAUGGAAAAAAGAAAGAGCGUUGGUGCCUGUAAAUCCAGGGUUGCCCCUUCGCGUUGUUUACAACGCCUGUUGUAAUUCCCCUUCGUGCCUUCCAAUGUUUAGCUCAGCUUUCGAUACUGUACUCUUCUUUCCGGCUUGGUCACAUGAGUGGACAGUUGGACCGUUAAAAGAAGGCUCAACUUUUCGGUUAUUGGCUGCUUUCUAAUCUUUCCUAUUCGGCAAAAGGCUACUUUUUGGCUUGUGCUACCUUCUCAGGUUGUUGUAAGAUUGAAAGGCUGGUUGGGGUUGGGCAUAGGAAGGCUGUUUGUUGAAAGGCAGAAGAAUCACAGGCAACAUUUAUUUACCUAUUAGUAGCAUGCGUUAUUAGCAUUAUUAUUUUGAUACCUUGAGUUAGUCUUACUCCUGGAGACUGCCUGGAUAAGUCACUACAGUUUUGUUUUGUUUUGUUUUGUUUUCUUGGUGAGGUUCUUUGCCUUCUUCCUAAGGGCUGAGACUGAGUGACUGGCCCAAAGUCACCCAGCUGGCUUCAUAGCUAAGGUGGGAAUAGAACUCAUGUUCUCCCAUUUCCUAGACUGGUGCCUUGCAGCAAGCUGGCUUUCUGUAACAGCAGUACGAAAAAGGAAUUUGGAGUCACAAGUUUCACCUGGAAUGUGGAGCCCUGGUGAUUGUUUUCAAUACCAUGGUCAGUUCUACAAUCUGUGAAAUUGUCAGGAAUAUCUAAUCAGCUAAAACCUUUUACAAGUACAGCAACUGUAGUCCACCCAAAAGUCUGAAUGGAGGGUUCUGGGUCAGAGGGUGAGUUGCCUAUAGGCAUGAAAUGUGUCCUCUCACAUGAAAAUCUGAGGGUCUAGUGAUAGCAAACCUAUGGCAUGUGUGCCAGAGGUGCACAUAGCGCCCUCUGUGGGCACAAGAGCCAGGUCCCACGUGCGUGUGCCUUCCGCCAGCCAGCUGGUCUUCGGGUCUCUGCUGCGCAUGUGGGGGGAGUGUGCUCGCGCAUGCAUUGCAUUUUGGGGGUUCAGGCAUGGUUUGGGCACUCAGUCCGGAAAAAGUUAGCUAUCACUGGUCUAGUGGUUGAAGCACCAAGCUAGAAAGCAGGGGAUCAUGUGUUUAUGUUCCACCUUUGCCAUGAAAGCCAGCUGGGUGACUUUGGGCAAGUCACACUCUUAGCCCAACCCACCUCACAGGAUUUGUGUUGUGGGUACAAUAGGAGGAGGAGGGUGUGUUGGAUAUGUUUGCCUCCUUGAGUUAUUUGUAAAAAUAAUAAAGACAGGAUGCAAAUAAAACAAAAGCCUUGUUUGGAAUCUCACUUCACCAUCCGUCCUUGUGGUCCAUCAACGAGUGAAAUAGGGGACAUCUGUUAAUCCUGUUAGCAUUGUGUGUGUGAUUUAGAGAAUGAGUACAGAUGUGUUCUUUGAGAAGAACAGAUAUUCCACAACCAGGUGCCCACCCCUAAUCCUUCAGAGUUCAAUUUCAAAGAUAUUAGAUUGGGGAAAGUUGGUUUGGAGCAUGUGAUCCUGAGAAAGUUGAAGCUGAAAUCAAGAUCAGAAAGUAUGGGGUGGAAGACACUCUUGUCUUGUAAAUACAUUGUAGAGCUAUAACUGAAUCCAGUAGAAAAAAGAGACAAACCUUUGAUUCCAACUCUUAUCUAAAACAUUAGCUCUUAAGCCCUCUGAAAUAUUCCAUAAGCUAACAAAUCCUACCAUGAAGUAUAUAUUGGGCAAAAUGACCGUUGUAUAUCUUGAUAGCAAUAACUGGGUAACUACUGUUUUAGUUUAGGUUAUCUUGUGUCCUGUUGAAUCCAGUAUACUGGACUAAAAAAAGUUGGCACUGGGCAACAAAUGUGUGCAAGAUAAUAUUAUGUUUUAAAACUGGCAGCACAUAAUGGAGCUGAUUAGUAAAGUAGUAAUAAUUAUGAUUGUUCUUGGGUGACAGAAUAUUAGUAGUCUUUGUUUUAUUAAACAAAAGUAGUUACAACAGUCCUAUAAUAUUCUAAUAUGAACCUUAAGGUCGAUGUUUAAGUCCAUAUUUUAAAAAAUCCUCCUCACGUGAGUAUAUUGAUUGUUACCUCAGUGAGCUCUUAUAUAAUCAAAUAUAAUAGAAUAGAAUUCUUUAUUGGCCAAGUGUGAUUGGACACACAAGGAAUUUGUCUUGGUGCAUAUGCUCUCGGUGUACAUAAAAGAAAAGAUACCUUCAUCAAGAAUUCUAAGUUUUCCUGGCAAGAUUACAGAAGUGGUUUUGUAUUGUCUUCUUCCUCAGUCUGAGACUGAGUGACGGAGUGACUGACCCAAGGUCAUCCAGCUGGCUUCAUGCCUAAGGUGGGACUAGAAUAGCUUCUAGCUUGAUACCUUAACUACUAAACCAACCGGGCUUUCUUCAGGUAAGACUUAUUUAGCCUAAUUCUUAUGCAUAUCUCUCUGUUUCGAAAAAGAGAUGUUGGCCAACCUUUGGCCAUUGCUUGGUCCCAUUAUUAUUUUCUAUCCAGAGUGCUCUAAGAUAGUGCCCAAUUCUAAUAGCAUAAUUUGUUGUUGGGGUUUUUGUUUGUUUUGCUUUAUUAUAAAAGGCUCAAGUAGAAUGUAAUUAUGUUAGGCAUUAAGACUCUGGAAGGCUUAAAUUAUGAAAGGGAAAAAAGAGAAAAAAUAUAGUUAGAAUCUUUCAGUUUGACUUCCACAUCUACCAAAUCUGUUGAAGAAAUUAAAAAUAAAAAAAGUGGAAUUUUGAUUGGGAAACCUUGUUUAUCUUUUUUAUUAUUUAGAAUAUGUAGAGUAUAUUUAAACAUUAGAUUAGCAUUUGUUAAAUAAAGUCCCUUAGCUAUAUACCUCCAGUACAAUGCUGUCUUUUUAUUAGAGCCAUCAAAAUGCUAAUAUAUUUCUGUAUAAAAUUAAAUUAAAUCAUAUUGAUGCACAUGAAAUUAACUUAUUUGUUACUACGGUAAACUAAUUGGGUAUUCACUUUUCAUUUUUAUUGUUUUAUUGGGUAUUUUAUCCACAUGUUGACUUCCAAAUAUUUGAAAACUCUGCUGAGAAAGGAUAAAAUGUCUAACAAAAUAAGAUUCUUUUUAACACUAUAAGGAAAUAAUAAUCCACUGUUGAGAAAAAGAUGAAAACAAAUAUACAAUAAUAUACAAUUUAGUACUUGAUGCACUUCAGCCAAAAAAGGAUAAUUGAAAUUAUCACCAACCAGGAACUGAAUGAACACAAAGUAUCUGGGUGCCCCAAAAAAACUUUCUCUGUUUUUAUUUUUCCUUUUUCUCUCUUUAUUGCAAUGGAGGGGGUGGGAGAAAAAUUAGAGUCAAUGUGAAAAUAUUAAACAAAAAUGAACAUCACUGCAGGAAUUACAUAACAGUACUGUAACCUGAGUUAUCACAAAAAGAAGGCUUUUGUUUGAAAAGACCCGAUUAAAAACAUUUGCAUCAUGUGAAUAUUUUUCGAAAGGCUACACAUUGGCCUUUGGUGGUGAGAGCAGAUCACUAAUAAUUCUCAAAUUAUAUUUUAAAAAAACAUCCAUAUUUUUAAUUUAGGAAUUUCCAGUAAAUUGAUUUGACUCAGGGGAGUAGUUUCCAUGGGUAAGUAUAAGCAGUUUUCUCAAAACAUUGUUCUAAGCUAUCAAUAGUUAUUGUUUAAUUCAAACUGCAAUUGUUUACAGGUCAACAUGAAGAUUCAUCUCGCUUGGAAGUGGGCCCAGCACAUUAAUUAUUUCUGGUUUUACAAAGAUUUUAGCCUAAGGUUACAAAGGUAGCACUCAAAGGAUUGCGCUAGGUACCAUUUGAUGAACUCUGCUUAACAUAAUAAUUAGACACCUUUACCUUAUUCCUUAUAAUAUUUGUAAUGAUAAAUCUUUCCUCUUCACCACAAUCGCUUUCUGUUUGAACUUUUGUGUGUGUGUACAGACACACCAAGCAUCUGGUUAAAUUGUCCUUGGACUGUAAGCCAAUAGAAUUUUUAGAUUUCAAAGACAGCAGCUUAACAGGACUAAGUAAUAACUAAUUAAUUACGUUUCUUUUGAUUCUCUAGAGCAUGGAUGAGCAGCUGAUGCUCAUCCAUCACCAUUGUUAUGCUGGCUAUAGCUGGCGCAAACUGAAGUUGAACAAUAUCUGGAAGGCCAGCAGCAGGAAGAGAUUUCUAGCUUAAUGAAUGCGCUCAUGGCUCAAUCUCUUGAGGCCUAUAAGUAAGACUGAGAAAAUCUACCUCAAACCCUGGAGAGAUGCUUCCCAUAGAAAUUACUAAGCCAGAUUGAUUUGUAAUAGAACCCCUAAAAUGCUGCUUCCUACACUGCCAAUUCUGUAGAUAUCUCAUAGUUGGAACACUGAAACAUUUAACAAGCAACAGAUAUGAACAUUCUCAUCUUUGAGAAGUUUUCUCAAUAAUGCUCUUGUAUAGACUAGCAAGCAAUACCUGCUUCUCCUUGGUGCUCUUACAAUUGUUGUUUUGGGAUUCUUUCAGACACAAACAUUCUAAAAGCCAACAAAGACUUUCCUUUCUUGAUUUUUUUCUAGUCUACUUUUAAAUUAAUUGUGGUGACCAUCAAGAUCUCUUGGGCAGCCAAUCCUACAAAUGAAAUAUGCUUUGCACACACAAAAAACAUUACCGGUAUUUGAAUCAGUCCUAAAUCUGCUAGCAAAUGUACCUCUGGGAUGAAUCCAGGUUCAACCAUUACAGAUGAGAGAGAGAGAGAUUUUAAACAAGUUCCUGCCUAUAAAAUACAUUUGUUCUUUUUACAUCCUGCAUUCUGAAUUUAAUCAAAAUUCUCCUGCUUAAUACUUAUUACUUGGUAAAAUGAUGUGGUUUUCCUUGUUCAUUAUUCUUCACUUCAUUUUUCUCCUCAGGUAUUUCAAGUUCCUUAAAAAUAUAGCAAAUAUUUAUCCAUCCCUUCAUCCAAUUAAAAGCCUGCUAAAAUAAAAAGCCAAAUGACCAACCAGGAACUAGAGGCUGAAGCCCUGCAUCCACAACAUUCCCUUACUGAGAAUGAUGCCUGCUGCAAACAAUAAUUUGGACUUGCUGGCUUUUAUGAUGGCUUUAUCAGUAGGAGUAAUCUCACUAAUCCCUGCACAUGCUUAUGGAAAGUCAGUACUUAAUUCAGUCCACAAACAGCUUCUCCAAUAAGAAAGAGAAGAUCAUGAUACUUUUUAGGGAUGCAUACAAUUCUCUUCACUAAAUAUUAUAUCCCUGCUUGGGGUAAGAAAGACUAAGAAGCAGGGUAGACUGACCCACAUUUUUUCGGAAGGCACCUUAAUAUUUGUAACUCCAAAGGACAAACACCUUAAACCAGCUGUUCUCAAAAUCCAAGCCAAGACUCCCAAAGAGGUUGCAAAAUAAUGGACAUAAAUGAUGCUUUCCUCUCAAUCCUUUUUGAGCAGGCUUGCCAGACUGCUGCUAAAGUAAUCUAAGUGCUCCCUAACACACAGUUCCAGAGCCAUGCAUGAGACUAGAAUGUUCUCUCUCUCUCUCUCUCUCUCUCUCUCUCUCUCUCUCUCUAACACGUGGGCUUUGCUUUUCAAAGGAGGAAUCAUCAUGCCUGGAGGCCACAAGUUUUCUAAGCAGAGCUCUGACCAUUUGUGACUUGAUGCUCACUUCUCAGAGAGGAUUGAUUGGAGGGAGAGAAAAGGCGGAAAGCUGUGAAAGAGCAAUGGGGUGGAAAUUGCAAGAACAGGGAAAGGAAUCUCUUCCCAAGAAGUCCCAUUGAAUAAAACCUCACUGUCUAUUUUCUCUUUUCCAUCCAGCAUAGUGCUCUGUGUGGAAAAGCAACUUAAAGUCUGCGGCAUUUUGCAAGCUACUGUAUUUUAGGAGCAGUUUUAGAAAAACUAGUUUAAGACGGAGAAACAUCCUUACUCCUGAGUUGGCCUUAGCCCUGGGAUUCUCUGUUAAUCUUUUGUUCCAGUCCAGCCAGGCCUGAUGCUCUUUAGCUUCUGAAGCUGGACAAAGUCAUCAACAGUCUGCCAUUUGCUAAGAGAUAUUCUUAAUUAAUAACCACCAGACUUAAUCAAAACAUCAAAUGAGAAGUGCCAGAUGUUCAUCCUAGCUUCCAGAAGAGUCAGGGGCACUCAAGAUAAUAUUAUGAACUUUUAAUGGAUAAUGAAAAAAGGCAAAGGGUACUUACGGGACCGCCUGCUGUUACCGAAUGCCUCCCACCAACCUGUAUGCUCGCACAGAGAGGGACUCCUUAGGGUGCCGUCCGCCAAGUAAUGUCGGCUGGCGGCCCCCAGGGGGAGGGCCUUCUCUGUGGGGGCUCCCACCCUUUGGAACGAACUUCCCCCUGGACUUCGGCAACUGCCGGACCUUCGGACUUUCCGCCGAGAGCUGAAGACCUAUUUGUUUGUUCACGCAGGACUGGCAUAGGAUUUUAAUAGGAUUUUAAUUAGUUUUAAUGUUUUAACAUUUUAAAAUUUGGGGUUUUAUUCUAAAUGUUUUAAUUCAGCCAUUUGUAUAAUAAGUUUUUUAAAUUAUGGUUUUAUGUGUAUACUGUUGUUGUUUCUUAUCAUGGCUGUAAACCUCCCUGAG